rfam:Sporolactobacillus inulinus CASD NODE_145, whole genome shotgun sequence.
UGUGAAUUGAAUGAUUAGCCGUAGACAGCAGGGGCAUAGUUUAUGCUUAAUGAAAACCCAGCCGAGGUUUAGCAAAUUCUUGAUAACUAAUCUGUUUGAUAGAUCAUGCCCUCGACUCUUCGGAUUCGAGGGCUUUUUGAUAGACUUG